GGUCUUCCCAAACUGUGUUUGUGAAUCAUCGUAAAAAUGCAGAUUCUUGUUCAGUAGGUCUGAACAUUUAAGACCUGAGAAAUUCACAUUCUAAAGGGCUCCCAGAUGAUGCUCGGGCCACCUGUCUACAAGCCACACUUUGAGUAGCAGGACAUUAUAUUAUUGACACAGCAAAUACAAACUGCUUAGUGAAUAAUAGGUGGUCAAUAAAUGUUUAUCACUUAAACACAAGUGAGGGGUUUCAUCUAAGGGAGUUCCCAUCCUGGCUUAGCGGAAAUGAAUCUGACUAGGAAUCAUGAAGUUGUGGGUUCGAUCCCUGGCCUCGCUCAGUGGGUUAAGGUCACAGACACAGCUUGGAUCUGCUGUGGCUUGGCAUAGGCCAGUGACUACAACUCCAAUAAGACCCCUAGUCUGGGAACCUCCUUAUACCGUGGGUACAGCCCUAAAAAGACAAAAAUAUAAAAGUAGAAAAGCCAAAUUACCAGUAGAUGAGAACCAGUAAUUUGAGUCUAUUAAGAUAAUUAAUGAUAAAGAAUUCUGGAAAGUUUGCUUCUUAGAGUAAAUUUGGUCCCGUUUGUCAAAAAAUUAAAAGUGACACUCAGUUAAAAUGUAAUACAUCAGUCUUGCAUUUCCUCUCUCCUCAUGAAGAGAGCAAGAAGACACUUAAAAGCUCACCCUUGGGAAAAUCUUUAAGCACCUCACCAAACUGAAAUCAACCAAGUCAAAAUGGAUGAGGAAUGUUUUACCUUCUUCCUUCUGCUCUUCAGCACAUCUUCUGCUGACACCGUUUUUCCACUUGUUGUUUCCUGCCACAUGGCGAUCCAUGUGCUCCCUGGCACCAAUUGUAGCCCUCAGUAGUCAUUCUUUAAAAGAAUUAGGCAAUUCCUCUCUCGUCUUUCUUUUUUUUUCUUUUUUUUUUUUUUGUCUUUUGUUUUUUGUCUUUAUAGGGCCGCACCCGCAGCAUAUGGUGGUUCCCAGGCUAGGGGUCUAAUCGGACCUGUUGCUGCUGGCCUAUGCCAUAGCACAGCAAUGCCAGUUCUGAGCCACAUCUGUGAUCUACACCACAGCUCAUGGCAAUGCUGGAUCCUUGACCCACUGAACGAGGCCAGAGAUGGAACUCGCAACCUCAUGGCUCCUGGUCGGAUUCGUUUCCGCUGCACCAGGACAGGAACUCCUCUCUCUCAUCUUUCUACUUGCAGUUCCUAUGAAAGAUUGUUUUCAAAGACCGUAUCACCAGGACAGUCUUUGAUAUAGAACUUGCACCCACUAUGUACAUAGGGGGCUAACAGCUAAAGGGCAACAAGUCUUUUUUCCUUUUAUCUCCCUCAAAGCAAAAUAAAUGCUUCAAAUAUGUGCUACUCUUUCAUGAUUUCUGCUAUAUUCACUUGCUUUAUUAUAAGGUUAAAAUUUUCUUUAAAGACUAUCUUUUAUUUAGAAAAUGUUAAACGAUAAAUUCAAUGAAAAUAAAUGUUACUGAUUUUUAGCUAGAUGCAAUUCCCCUCAGGGGAUCCAGAAGAUAAGGACUGAUUUAUUUGUUAAAAUAGGAGAUUGGCAAGUGGAAGUGGUAUUAAAUUCAUAAUGUACCAAAAGAGACUUUCUCCCUGACUUGAUCAAGGGAUUACAUGAGAAUAUGGUACCCAUCACAAGAGUCAAUGAUGUGUAAGGCUGUGAUAGUUUACCAAUGCCAGCCAUCUCUCUUACACAUAUCAUAUGUUAGGAAAAAUACUUCUAGAUCACAGAGAUUGAGUAAUCUGUGGGAAAUGUUGACUUCACAAGAAAGAAAGAGAGAAAGAAAGAAAGAAAGAGAAAGAAAGAGAGAGAGAAGGAAAGUCCUUGCAAGUUUGACAUUAACUGUUUAAAUCCAGAAUAUAAUUCUUUCUCUGUCUCACAGACAUGUACAGGAAAUAGUCUGGAUAUGUUUUCUUUCUUUUUAUCUUCUUUCUUCUCUUUCCCCCCCCAGAAUUUUAAGUAUUAUGAUGGAAACUUUAGUGUAAUGUAGAAUAAACCAUGAAUAUACAUAUUCAAAAUAUCUGAUCAAAAAAAUAAAUAAAAAGACCAAGCCACGCUGAUGGUUUACCUGGCCCAAUAAGGCAAUAGGUUCAACAACAUUCUAUAAUUCUAUAACUUGAUGCGAAACAUGCAUUCCAAGUAACACAGGAUCAGUAGUACUAUUGUAACACAGAAAGUUGACCCACCUCAAUUACUUUGGAGAAUACAAUUCAGUUGAAAUGAAAAAAGCAGAAAGAAGAGAAAACUAGUUCUGUAACGAUCUUUGCUUUGAUGUUAGAGUCAGAAACUAGUAUUUUCCACAGGGAAAGGAAAUCAGAGGAAAGGGAAUGAAUGGGAUUGCAGGCUUCCUUAGGAAGACAUCCUAAGGAAGAUUUCUCUGUUCUGUCAUUGCCCGGUUGGAGAUUGAUAAGGUUAGAUGUAGUUGUGUUUGUAGAUGUAUAUACAUAGCUAGAGAUAGCUGGAAUACUUCUGUAGAUGCAGAUAUUCAAGGUCCCACUUCUGCCUCUGCCUCCUAUCUGUGCCCAUGACUUGAUGAAUGAUUAAAAUGGAUUCUGCUUUUUGUUUCAGUCUUGACCAACUCUUUAUGGAUGACUUAUUUAAUGAGUCAGGCUUGUUUCCUUUUCCUUUUCUUCUCUUCCUUCUUUUCCCCCCUUGUCGGCAGAAGCCAGACAGGUUUUGAAGUACUAAUGAUGAUUAGUUCAUUUAAGCCAGCACAGACCAACAAUGGGUUUGAAAUUUUAAUCAGAUGAAGGGCUUAUUGCUCAAAAGCCCACAGAAUAGCAAAUGAACCAGGAAAGGAAAGCAAGGAGAAAAAGAGGCUGAGUGGAGAUUUGACACAAGCAUUUUCAGCUGCUGGGCCUCUUUGAUGUGUGAGUGGGACAGAUGCGCUGCACUUCUCCUGAGAGAACCCUCUUUGUAUACAAUAGUGUGCUGAUUAAUAUCACUUCACUCUUCCCUUGAGAGGAGCAAGGCUGGCUCUUAGUCAUUCUCUUAUUGGGCACCAUUGGGCCCACUUCUCUUUCCUGCUGGUAGGAAACUGCCAUUCAUUCUCUCUCCUCUUAAUCUAAAAGCUCAGGCUCACAGAAAACCCAUCUUUCUUCUGUCAUCACAGCCCCAAAGUACGUGUCUUAUGGUGGGGUCAUUUACAUCCUACACCAUUGAUUCCAAGUAUAUGCAUGAGGCAACUGGUUAGGUCAAGGAAACCCCUCUCCAGUAUUAUACUGUGCUCUAGAGCAGAAGGUCCAAUAGGACUUUUUGCAGUGAUGGAUAUAUUCUGUAUCUGUGCUGUUCAGGGUGGUGGCUAAGAGCCACAUGGGCUAGCAGACCCUUGAAACGAGGCUAAUGCUACAGAAGAAAUGAAUUUCAAUGUAAUUUAAUUUUAAUUAAUUGAAAUACCAGUGGCAUUAACACCACCUAGGAACUGACUAGAAAUGCAGAAUUUCAGGCUCCACCCCAGACUUUCUCUGUUGAAAUCUGUAUUUAAGGAGAUUCCUCUUGGAUGAAUUGUAAGCAUGUUUAAUUUUGAGUAGCUUUGCUCUGGAACAUGUGUUGACUCCUGAAUAUACUAAAUCUGACAGUUUUCAUCAAAUGACACAGUAAUAAUUCUUAACUGUCUAGUAAUUUUCCUCCUUAAAAAAUACUUUCCUUAAAAUAGGAUAGAGUCAUUCUUUGUUUCGAGGGAAGCCAAAGAUGAUAAUUGGGGUCUCAUGUUUGAGGAAGCGAUGGUGUUGGCUCUUCAAAGGAAAUGGAAAUCUGUUAGGAAAAAUGCUGGGGAUAUAUUAGGUUCCCCAAACCAUAACAUCAUCCAAUUAACAUUUGUCUAGUCCUUUACCAUUUACAAAACACUUUUAUAGGUGUUAUGUUAGAUGAGUACUUUAUGCCCAUUUGAAGUUGAGGAAAUGGUCUUGGAUGGCUUAUCCUUUGAGCAUAGUUAUUGAACAUAGUCACACAACCAGUGAGUGACAUAUUUAUGGCCCAAUUCCAGACAGCUUCUUGGGUCUUUCUACUCUACAACAAAAUGAGAGGAAAUGGCAUCUCUUUGAAAACCUCAUGGUGAUAGAAUUUGGGAGCUAGUUAGAUGAGACAAUAUUAAGCUGCGUCUAAGCCAUAAAAAGGAAACAAAACUAUAGACCCUUCUUUCUUCCUUCUCUCAACAUAAAAUGUCUUCUAUGUUAUAGCUGCUAUAGACAUUUGGAUUUUAUAUCUCAUUUACAUAUAAUCGAUUACAUGUCACCUUUCUUCCUCUUAUGAAGAGUGAUAUAUUGUGAUUUUUUGACACAAUAUUGAAAGUUAUUUGAAAAGUCAAUUGCAUUUUAUUCAACAGGUAUUUCAAGUAGUUUCCAAAUGAGAAAAACUCAGAAGGCUAUAACUCUCGUUUACCGAGUUAUUAAAGGUCAUUGUUGGUGCAUUCAAUUUCGGGAAAAUGAGAGCUGGGCAAGUUUCUUAAAUCUGAAAGAGGAAAUUUAUGGGCCUAUAAAUAAAAGAGGUACCUAUGGGGAAAUUAAUAAACUUACAGAAGUUGUUACCUCAAGUGUUUGUAUAGGCUGAUGUGAUAGCAACAAUUAAAUGUGUUUAUAUAAAUUUGUUGAUGACAAAUUGGGAUUGAGCCAUUAGAUAAAUCUUUGAUGCAGUAUUUGAUGCAUGCCCCACAUUUAAAUGCUGAUAUGACAGGGCAAGAAUUUUUUUCUAUAAAUCAUUCUGAAUUGCCUCUGUCCAAUUUAAUUACUUGCCUAAGUAUACCAGGAAUCAGACUUUGUGGUAUUUCCUAUGGUCCCAGUAAAAGUUCUAAUGCAAAUUAGAUAUUUUAUUAUGUUAAUAUGUCCUAGAGAAUUAUAUUUAUUAAGCUUGCAGAACAGUUUCUGAAUUUGAUUCCUGCCACCAAAACUUACACUGGCAAACAGAGUCUUCAAUAUUUUUUCCUGUCCUUCAAGGCCUCCAUCAGACUGAGAUAAGCAUGUGGAAAUUGAUCAGAGUGAUUUUGUUAUUAUUUGCCGUUCUUCCACCCUUGCAUUGUCUCCAUAGAACCCUUUGAUUAACUUAUCACUCUGACAUUUUAGGGGUUCCCUCACUCCAGAACCGAGAGGGUAUCACCCACCAACACAGCAGGCUUUCAACAGAGCAGAAUGAGACCUUCAUGACAGAUUUAAUGAGGAGAAAGCCCAAUCUUCACUUCUUGCUGAUUUCCCAGCUGUGGGAUGAUGUUUGAUUAUUUCUAAUACACCAGUGCUUUAAGUUCCAUCUGCUGCUGUCACUACCACCACUUUUGUUGGGCAGCUCUCUGCUGGUUACCCUGUUCCUCUGUGACAUUCUGGCCCUGAGAAAAUGAAAAUGUCAAACUCAGGUAUCCUCUCUGCUUCUGCUAGAGAGAAAUAUCUUAGGCAGGAUAUGACACUAGCUUUGCUGAAUAAUUGGGGUUAAAAAGAAAACCUAUUUCUGAUUUUCUAAAAUAACACAAUGUAUAUAUUAUUCAUUUCUUAUAAAGUGUCAGUGAAGAUUUCAUUCUGCUUUUUCUUAGAUCCCUCUGUUUUCAUCUGAUUGGAAAUUUGGGAAGGGUGUCCGGGGGUGAAAGUUAGCAUUCCUUCUUUCCCAAGAAUAUAAAAUUUUCAGCCAGCCAAGCACUUAUUUUUUAACAUUUGAUAUUAGGUACAAAGAAGCACUAAAGUUGUUCAACUUGGUCAUUUACUUAACCUCUCUGUGCCUCAGUGUCUGCAUCUGUAAAAUGGAAAUAAUAAUAUUUACCUCAACUGGUUGCUGACAGAAAAAAAUGAGAUUACUACAUAGAAAGUAAUUAAGGCACAGUUUGUAUCAUAUAGCAAGCUAAUAAAUUUGAUAUUGAUUUAUCAUUUUAAGAGUAUUUCAAAUAUUCUCUAAUAGUCAAGUGCUUAUUCAAUUUUUUUUUUUUUUUUUUUUUGCUUUUAAGCAGCAUGAAUGUUAUACUUAAGUUUUCUUUGGCUGUGUUUUUUUGUUUGUUUUGUUUUUGUUUUUUAAAUCCCUGGAGUUCCUGCUGUAGCUCAGCAGAAAUGAAUCUGACUAGCAUCCAUGAGGACACAGGUUCAAUCCCUGACCUUGCUCAGUGGGUUAAGGAUCCAGCGUUGUGUAGGUCGCAGAUUCGGCUCGAAUCCCACUUUGCUGUGGCUGUGGAGAAGGCCAGCAGCUUUGGUUCCCAUUCGACCCCUAGCCUGGGGAACCUCCAUAUGCAGCCCUAAAACAACAACAACAACAACAAAAAUCCCUAAGUGACUGGAAAGAAACUCACAACUCAGCACAUUCAAUUGGCAUAUCUUAAGACCUUGAAAACCUUAGAGGAACAAUUUCUCACCAAGAAGCUGGUUAAAGAACAAGAGCAAAAGCUGCUGUUUCAUGCUGUUAUGGAAGAUAUAUUGACCUUCACCCCAACAAAUGACAUUUUUCUGGGACAGUCAUUUUACACUAGCUAUCUUAUAUUAGUAAAUAUCUAAAGAGAUUAAAGUGAAAUAAAAUCUAAUAUUUAUUAGCAUUAUCAUUUCAUGACAUAGAAAUCUUAAAUGGAUAUUUUGUAAAGCCAAUAUAGCCUGUUGUUCUUUGGCUUAAUAGGGUGAUAAAUAUUGAAUUGCCAUGACUUGUUUUAUAUUUAAUAUACUGAUUUUCAAAUGCUAUAUAUAUGAACUAUUAUUAUUCUUGGUCUUCUGAACACUUGAGGUCCAAGCUUGAAAUUUAUUUAUUUUUGUUUAUUGAUUUAUCUUUGUGGACACGCCUCACCAAACACACAUACAUGCACAUGGACACACAGUAUAGCACAGCAUAUUACAAAGAUGCUGAAUAUUUAUUGAAUGUCAGGAUAAACUUUCACAUUUCUGAACAUGUUUAUUAGUCACCCUCUUCCUUCCCUUAUUGUUGUUCAUUCAGUAAACAUCUGUUCAGCACCUACCACAUGCAGGGCAGAUGGUUAAGCCUUCUCUCUUGUUCUUUCUUUUUUUCUGCUUAAGGAAAUAUUUCUAGAAUGGACCAUACUCCCACUUCUGCCUUUAGCCUUGACCCUUUUUGAAUCCACCUCUUUCAGCCUCCCUGCAUUCACCGCUACCAUCUAACCAUGUAGCUUAUAGUGCUGGUAAGAAUGAAAUCUACCUGCUUUUUGAUUUUAUCUUCUCUCCUUUUCUCACUCCCAGCACUGUCUUCUGUUUCCUGCUAACCAAGAGUUCUAGAACUCCUACGUCUUCCUCUGUUCUAGUUCCUUCAGUGAGGCCUUUCCUAAAUCAAUAAUGUACCUCCCAAAGGCUCAGUUUCUCUCUACUUCUGUGUUGUUUUUUUUCUUUUAACAGAACCUAAUGUAUUGUAGGCCCCCAAAUGUCAUUAACAGCAAUAAUAAUGAAACUGCCAAAGCAAACAAAAAUUCGUCUGUUUACUCUGUGUAAUUCAUCUUUUCUACUUUAUUUGAUCAAAUAACCUUUCUAGUCAUUUUCACUUUCUUUUCAAAGAAACUUUCUCUCUUUUGGGGGUUCCUAAGUUCCAUGAGGUAUUGUUUGGAUUCCCAAAGCUGACAAGAAAGUACAAGUAGAACCCAUUGCUAUUUAACUUAAAGCUAUAGAAAUACAGGAAAUUUUAUUCUUUAACAUAUAAAAAUAGUUUUAAUUAUUGGGCUUUUUAUGAACCAGUUACCUUUAUAAGAGGACAUUAUUUCCUUAAUCCUAAUUAUAACUCCAUACAGUAGAUAUUAUUAAUCACACUUUCCAAAUGAAGAAACCAAAUCUCAUGGAAAUGAAUCAAUACACAGCUGGCAUCCUAACCAAGAUCUCCUGGCUUCAAAGCUUAGCCCAGUUAUUCUCAACGUUUAGUUCCUGAGUGUCCCAAAAUAUUUUAAAAUAUUCUAACUCCCAAAUCCUAUCAACAGGAGAUUCUUGUUUAAUAAAUUUAGUGUAUAAUCUCAGGACUUUCCUUUGAGAAUAUCAACUCUCUCUUCUAGAUUUUGAGUUUGGAGUUAAAAGCCAUAGAAUUUUACUGUAAUACAAUUUGAUAAUGUUUAGUCCCUAACCUGAUGAGCCCUAUAACAUAGCAGGUUAAAUAUUCACUGAAAAAAAUAAUGUGCUAUUGAAGGAGAAUAUAUCUAAUUGCCACUUUCCCAGACCAGUAGAAUCAUUUUGCAUGCAGUCAUCUUAACUUUGCCGAGUUUUCAAAGAGCAUUGUAAAAAUAUGUCUAUUAUCUCUACUGACUUAUUUUAAUACACACAUUAAUGAGGGGAUAAAAUAACCCAAUGAUAUAAUGUGAUAAUGUCAUCUAUGGCCUUGGAUAAGUCAAAAGUAGCUACUAUAAGAUUAGGGUUUUUGGAGUUCCCGUCGUGGCGCAGUGGUUAACGAAUCCGACUAGGAACCAUGAGGUUGCAGGUUCGAUCCCUGCCCUUGCUCAGUGGGUUAACGAUCUGGCGUUGCCAUGAUCUGUGGUGUAGGUUGCAGACGCGGCUUGGAUCUGGCGUUGCUGUGGCUCUGGUGUGGGCCAGCAGCUACAGCUCCAAUUAGACCCCUAGCCUGGGAACCUCCAUAUGCCGCAGGAACAGCCCAAGAAAUGGCAAAAA
rnacentral:lncRNA from 1 species